AUAGGUUUCUUAUGUUUAAUGCUUUAUAAAAUUUCUUAACUUUACAAACCAUAGCUGUCUCACUCCCAUUUCAUUUCAGAUCUCAAACGCCUCUCUGUUCCGUCCGCUGCUUCCUCUUUGCCUUUGCUUCCUCUCUUUCUCUCUCUCUCUCUCUCUCUCUCUCUCCCUCCCUCUCCCUCUCCUUCCUCUGUUCCUCCAAAUCACUCUCUCUCUCCAGUCUUCUCCUGUCCUCCUUGCGGAUUUCUUCUUCCAAACCAUGAUUUUCGCUCGCCCUUUUCGAGAUCUGACAAAAAGAGGAAUUGAAAGAGCUUGCGACGAUCAUGGCUAUAUCGCUGCAACAAAGAUCUAUUGUGGACUUGACUAUGAAUUUGAAUGUGGGCACUGGGCAUGCGCUAUUGAAGUCCGAUUAUGGUAUUUAGAAGAACCCAAUUGCUUUUUUUUUUGUUUCGAUUUGCAUCGAUCAGUUAAUUUGUUGAGUUAUUUCAUGAUUUUGUAAAUUUUAAAGUUUUUGAAUUUUGAAUCCUGGUGAUGUACAUUUCCUUGAAGAAUAUAUGUUUAUGUAUUUGCUUAA